rnacentral:rRNA from 1 species
GACAGAGGGUGCAAACGUUGCUCGGAAUCACUGGGCGUAAAGGGCGUGUAGGCGGGAAGGUAAGUCGGGCGUGAAAUCCCUGGGCUCAACCCAGGAACUGCACUCGAAACUACUUUUCUUGAGUGCCGGAGAGGAAAGCGGAAUUCCUGGUGUAGAGGUGAAAUUCGUAGAUAUCAGGAGGAACACCAGUGGCGGAAGGCGGCUUUCUGGACGGUAAC